rnacentral:rRNA from 1 species
GACGAACGCUGGCGGCGUGCUUAACACAUGCAAGUCGAACGGAAAGGCCCUGCUUUUGUGGGGUGCUCGAGUGGCGAACGGGUGAGUAACACGUGAGUAACCUGCCCUUGACUUUGGGAUAACUUCAGGAAACUGGGGCUAAUACCGGAUAGGAGCUCCUGCUGCAUGGUGGGGGUUGGAAAGUUUCGGCGGUUGGGGAUGGACUCGCGGCUUAUCAGCUUGUUGGUGGGGUAGUGGCUUCCCAAGGCUUGGACGGGUAGCCGGCCUGAGAGGGUGACCGGCAAAAUUGGGACUGAGACACGGCCCAGGCACCUACGGGAGGCAGCAGUGGGGAAUAUUGCACAAUGGGCGGAAGCCUGAUGCAGCAACGCCGCGGGCGGGAUGACGGCCUUCGGGUUGUAAACCGCUUUCGCCUGUGACGAAGCGUGAGUGACGGUAAUGGGUAAAGAAGCACCGGCUAACUACGU